rnacentral:rRNA from 1 species
GACGAACGCUGGCGGCGUGCUUAACACGUGCAAGUCGAACGGUAAGGCCCUUCGGGGUACACGAGUGGCGAACGGGUGAGUAACACGUGGGUGAUCUGCCCUGCACUUCGGGAUAAGCCUGGGAAACUGGGUCUAAUACCGGAUAGGACCACUGCCUGCAUGGGUGGUGGUGGAAAGCUUUUGCGGGGUGGGAUGGGCCCGCGGCCUAUCAGCUUGUUGGUGGGGUGAUGGCCUACCAAGGCGACGACGGGUAGCCGGCCUGAGAGGGUGACCGGCCACACUGGGACUGAGAUACGGCCCAGACUCCUACGGGAGGCAGCAGUGGGGAAUAUUGCACAAUGGGCGCAAGCCUGAUGCAGCGACGCCGCGUGAGGGAUGACGGCCUUCGGGUUGUAAACCUCUUUCAGCACCGACGAAGCGCAAGUGACGGUAGGUGCAGAAGAAGGACCGGCCAACUACGUGCCAGCAGCCGCAGUAACAC